GAUCAUUAUCGAAUUCCGGCUGUGCGCCGAAAGGCUGCACGCCGAUUUCCACACACCUGUGCACCGUCGCGGGGUAACCCGCCGUAAUCACACACGUCUAUGAUGUCCAGAAUGUAACUUUUUAAACCAAUACAACUUGCAGCAACGGAUCUCUUGGCUCACGCAUCGAUGAAGAACGCAGCGAAAUGCGAUAAGUAAUGUGAAUUGCAGAAUUCAGUGAAUCAUCGAAUCUUUGAACGCACCUUGCACCUCACGGUUUUCCGUGAGGUACGCCCGUUCGAGUGUCACGUUAACCAUCGCUCAGAGGCUUGCCUCGAAAGCGGAGUUGGACGUUGCCGGCGAAAGUCGGCUCGUCUCGAAAUGCAUUAGCUAGAGUGCUCGCAGGCACGGCGUUGAUAAUCUCCACGUCUUGUCCUUCGGUUGCCCUGCUUCCAAUCGUCUUCGGACAAUUAUCAAAGUUUGACCUCGAAUCGGGUGGGACUACCCGCUGAACUUAAGCAUAUCAAUAAGCGGAGGAAAAGAAACUAACAAGGAUUCCCCUAGUAACGGCGAGUGAAGCGGGAAAAGCUCAAAUUUGAAAUCUGGCCGUCUUCGGCGGUCCGAGUUGUAGUUUAGAGAGGCGUAUUCCGCGGCGGACCACGUACGAGUCCUUUGGGAUGAGGCGUCGUAGAGGGUGAGAACCCCGUUCACGACGUGGACUACCGUCGCUUUGCGUUGCGCCCUCGAAGAGUCGAGUUGUUUGGGAAUGCAGCUCAAAACGGGUGGUAAAUUCCAUCUAAAGCUAAAUACAGGCGUGAGACCGAUAGCGAACAAGUACCGUGAGGGAAAGAUGAAAAGAACUUUGGAAAGAGAGUUAAACAGUACGUGAAAUUGCUGCAAGGGAAACGCUUGGAGUCAGUCGUUUCGUCCGGGACUCAACGGAGGUUCUCCUCCGCCUACUUCCCGCGACGAGAGGCCAGCGUCGGUUUCGGACGUCGAAGAAGGUCCGAGGGAAUGUGGCACCUUCGGGUGUGUUAUAGCCCUCGGUCGGACGCGGCGUCGGGGACCGAGGA
rnacentral:rRNA from 1 species